rnacentral:lncRNA from 1 species
GUGGGCAAGAGAGGGGAGGGUUAUGAAUUUCUCACAGGUCAGGAAAUUGGUCAGGGAGGACCCGUCUUGUGACUCCUUGGCAGAGUACUUCCACUCAAAGGGAUUCUUGAUCCAAGAGGGGCAUGACAGGUAGGGAAGUGUGUGAACGUAGAGUCAGUUAGGCAUUGUAAUUCAUUUGUGAUGGGUGUAAUAGACUGUACAGGGGUGUGAUAGUCAUACCAUAGUCAUGGACCCUUUGAUUCCUCCAGCGCUGCAAGGGGGUCAGCCAACAUAAGGGGGUCCCUGCAAAGAGCAAGACGGACUUCCGGAGCUUCUGUCUCGCCACAAUGAUGUGGGUUCAUCACCUUGGUCCUGCCAGCAUUAAAGAGUUCAAGGUCCAGGAGUGGAACGACAGAAUGCCGGAGGCAGACGGAGUCACUGUAACGCUGUCCAAAGGAGCUAUUGAGUUAAGCAGAAAAGAAGAACAUUGGUUGGACUGCUACUUUGUUCAUAUCCGGCCAGAAUAUUUCAAGGCCCAAACUCCAGAGACGACAGGGACCGGUUCUUCCUCGGGGCUUCAGGUGUCCCUCUUAGCAACCCGACAGCCGAUGUGCAAAGGCUACGACAAAAGCAAGUAUUGUAGUGUUUCAUGCGGAUACGGUUGGGUUUCACGACAGGCCAUGACGGACAUUAUACCUUCAUUUCUCCCACCAAUGCAUGUCCGCAGGUAUGUCAUGAGGCUCCAGGAGAGAGCUGUGCCGCCACCAGAGCCACAGGCGGGACUGACGGUUGAUGCCCCCAGCUCAUCUGCGGAAGGGGAGGCACCACACAUGCCGGAGAG